GGGAGAACACUGCUGUGCCUGAUGAGGUUUGGCUGUGGGCAAGCCUGGCACUGCUGAUUCUCAUAAGGAACCAAGUAAUGCCCAGCGAUGCCUGGCCAUCACUGAACUCCCACAGCUGUGCUGUAGGGUCACCUCUGCAGGGAGAUGGCUCCUGCGUGCCCAGGGGCUGCCAAGCACAGUGGUUCUUGCUUCUGCCGGAGCUCUGCAGAGCCUGCUGUGACACCAGUCAAUAUCAGCCAGCC